GAUGAACGCUGACAGAAUGCUUAACACAUGCAAGUCAACUGUGGCGGACGGGCGAGUAACGCGUAAAGAACUUGCCUCACAGAUAGGGACAACAUUUGGAAACGAAUGCUAAUACCUGCUCCUGUGAGAGAGCUUUGCGUCCCAUUAGCUAGUUGGAGAGGUAACGGCUCACCAAGGCGAUGCUGGGUAGCCGGCCUGAGAGGGUGAUCGGCCACAAGGGGACUGAGACACAGCCCUUACGCCUACGGGAGGCAGCAGUGGGAAUAGUGGACAAUUGACCAAAGUCUGAUCCAGCAAUUCUGUGUGCACGAUGAAGUUUUCGGAAGGUAAAGUGCUUUCAGUUUGGAAGCGGUACCAACAGAAGAAGCGACGGCUAAAUACGUGCCAGCAGCCGCGGUAAUUC
rnacentral:rRNA from 1 species